rnacentral:lncRNA from 1 species
CCAAUGCACCUGGCAGAAUAUGCAUUUCUAACAAGCUCCCAGAAGAUGCUGAUGCUGCUGGUCCAUGGACCAGACUUUGAAAAACAAGACCUUAUGGCACACAUGUAAAGAGAAGCCUCUCCAAACUUCAAAUAAUUCUUCAGUACACAGUAAUGACUCUGUAGAACUGCAUAGCUAGAAUGGAAAGAAAGAAAAUGGAGCUAACACUCCGACCAGCACAUUCACCAGCACAUUAUAAGAUAGGAAUCAUUUCCCUGAUUCCAUUUUUCUCCAGCUCAGGCUGGUCUGAGUCUCCAUCUCUCGGCUCCAGAAGAGCAAAUACAAACAAAUCUGGCUGAAAAUUAACAAAGACCAUUUUUUAAAGAAAUCGUUAAUUUAUUGAGUACUAGUGGGAAUACCAUGGGCUAGGUAUUACAUUUUGUAUUUCACUGGUUCAGUUUAACAGCAAAUAUUUGAGAUCUUAACAUUGUUAACUGUUGUGCGAGGCACCAGGGGUAUCUUAUUGAGUAACAACAAAAAUUUUUAGAGAUGAUAGUCUAGAAGACAUUAAUAAAACAAUCACACAGUUAAUAUGAAGUUGUGAUGGGGACGGGUGCUGAUGAGGAGAGGGCCAGAAUACUUUGAGAGGACAUCAUAGGUGAAUUUGACCUGAUAUCAGGGAGGUCUAGGAGGGCUUCUUGAGGCAGUGACUGGCUGGGUCUGGAAGGUGAGUAGGGAGCAGUGCCUUCUGCUUCUGGCAGUGGUGAGCUGAGUGACUGCAGCGCCACUCUUCCAAGCACAGUCUGCUAAUAAGAUGAUGCUGAAUUUCUGGACUAGGAUCUGGGGUGGCUGAAGAUCUGUGGAAGUGAGUGUGGUAUUUGGGGCUGCUUUUGACCUUGGAAUCUGUAGUGGCGUCUGUAGUGGAUUUGGCAUCUCUACCAAAUUUGGUCCACCUAGAACUUCAGG